rnacentral:rRNA from 1 species
GUAGGGAAUCUUCCACAAUGGACGAAAGUCUGAUGGAGCAACGCCGCGUGAGUGAAGAAGGUUCUCGGAUCGUAAAACUCUGUUGUGAGGGAAGAACAAGUACCGGAGUAACUGCCGGUACCUUGACGGUACCUCAUUAGAAAGCCACGGCUAACUACGUGCCAGCAGCCGCGGUAAUACGUAGGUGGCAAGCGUUGUCCGGAAUCAUUGGGCGUAAAGCGCGCGCAGGCGGUCCCUUAAGUCGGAUGUGAAAGCCCACGGCUCAACCGUGGAGGGUCAUUGGAAACUGGGGGACUUGAGUGCAGAAGAGGAAAGCGGAAUUCCAAGUGUAGCGGUGAAAUGCGUAGAGAUUUGGAGGAACACCAGUGGCGAAGGCGGCUUUCUGGUCUGUAACUGACGCUGAGGCGCGAAAGCGUGGGGAGCAAACAGGAUUAGAAACCCGUGUAGUCC